GCCCGCAUAGCUCAGUUGGUAGAGCACCUGAUUUGUAAUCAGGCGGUCGGGGGUUCAAGUCCCUCUGCGGGCUCCA
rnacentral:tRNA from 2 species